rnacentral:rRNA from 1 species
GCUUGUAGCUAAUUUUGUAAGUAUAGGCCUGCCCAAUGAUAAGUUUAAUGGCCGCAGUAUUUUGACUGUGCAAAGGUAGCAUAAUCAUUUGUCUCCUAAUUAGAGGCUGGUAUGAAUGGCUAAACGUGGAAUAAGCUGUCUCUUGAAAUUAUUAUAACUUAAUCCUUAAGUCAAAAAGCUUAAAUACUAAAGCAGGACGAGAAGACCCCAUAGAUCUUUAUACUGAUACUUUUAGAAAGUUUAGUCGCUACUACUCUAAAGAAUCUACGUAUUUGGUUGGGGUGACACGAAGUCUUAAACACUUUUUUCAAUACAAUAAUAGUAGGUUAAAUGACCCGGUUAGCCGAUUAAAAAAUUAAGUUACCUUGGGGAUAACAGCGUAAUCUGCCUUUAGAGUCCUUAUCAAAUGGCAGGGUUGCGACCUCGAUGUUGGAUUAAGAACUCUCUGUGCGAGCAGUCCCGCACCAGAGGGGUCUGUUCGACCCAUAAAUUCUUACAUGAUCU